rnacentral:rRNA from 1 species
UACGGAGGGUCCAAGCGUUAUCCGGAAUCAUUGGGUUUAAAGGGUCCGUAGGCGGUUUUGUAAGUCAGUGGUGAAAGCCUGCAGCUUAACUGCAGAAUUGCCAUUGAUACUGCAAAUCUUGAGUACAUUUGAUGUGGGCGGAAUGUGUCAUGUGAGCGGUGAAAUGCUUAGAUAUGACACAGAACACCGAUUGCGAAGGCAGCUCACAAAACUGUAAACUGACGCUGAGGCACGAAAGCGUGGGGAUCGAACAGG